rnacentral:rRNA from 1 species
UAACGCGAAGAACCUUACCUGGGCUUGACAUGUGCCUGACCGCCCUGGAAACAGGGCUUCCCUUCGGGGCAGGUUCACAGGUGGUGCAUGGCUGUCGUCAGCUCGUGUCGUGAGAUGUUGGGUUAAGUCCCGCAACGAGCGCAACCCCCGUCGUAUGUUGCCAGCAUUUAGUUGGGGACUCAUGCGAGACUGCCGGUGACAAACCGGAGGAAGGUGGGGAUGACGUCAAGUCAUCAUGCCCCUUAUGUUCAGGGCUACACACGUGCUACAUUGGCGCGUACAGAGGGCUGCGAUACCGCGAGGUGGAGCGAAUCCCUCAAAGCGCGUCUCGGUUCGGAUUGCAGGCUGAAACUCGCCUGCAUGAAGGUGGAGUUGCUAGUAAUCGCGGAUCAGCAACGCUGCGGUGAAUACGUUCCCGGGUCUUGUACACACCGA